UGCAGGGUCUAAAGCGGGAGCCUUGUGCACUGGGUACGACCUUUAUUUCUUUUCUUGUGAAAACUCUGCAAUGAAGAUGAGAUACUACACAAUAAACACCAACUGUCCAGACUUGAAGUGAAAACCAAGUCUAACAUUGUUUGCAGACAAUCUAAAUCACUCGUCACCGUUUCACAAGAAAAGAAAUAAAAAAAAAAAAAAAAAGCUUGAUCAUUGUAGCCAAAUCUGAUUUGUGAAUUCGCGUGUAUUUUUGUUCGGCCACUUGUUCCACGUUUCAUUGAGUAGCUUACCUGUGUAUUAUUCCCUGCUGUACGGGGAUCAUGUUCGGGCAAUAAUUGACGGAAUCAAUGGUUUGAAUUCGUAGUAUAGUAGCAUAAACAUUCUUACAGGCUGCCAUGAUAACUCUUUUCUAUAUAUACACAGCUAUAUAUAGGGUAACGUUGUCUUUCCGGCUAUUUGAUACUUGACAUUAUGGUGAGAAAAUUUCUUAUAUGUUGUGCAGAUUAGUGCCUCGUUGAAGUUUUACAUUCUAAUAAAACCGCUAUCAUUUCACCUCAAUAAAGAAAAACAGAAUAGUGCGUCACAAUAUUUGCUAGUAAUGGAUGGUAAUUUAUGCAAACCUUUAUAAUCAUGGAGAAGCAUGAGUUGGACACAAGAAAUCCAGCAUAUGAAACAUUAUUUUUCAGGCACAGAAGACAUCAAACAUAUGAGCCCAAAAGCUUCUCGAACUUCAUAGAGUCACACUCUCGUUGCGUGGGGAAUUAUGCCAUGCUCAGGCUCAACGACCAUGGUAUAAACUGGCGAAUGCCGGUAUGUUGGCGAGAGGGAGAAACUGAACUUUGACAGAAUCAAAGCAAGCAUCACCUUAAGUUCUGUCAUCGCCCAGUGUCGGCCAACAGAGAUACGAGGACCAUUUCCAAAUGGCAUGUAAGCUUGUGGAGACUGGCAAGCCGCCAUAAUUCCGUUGGCAAAUCUUUCUGGGUUGAACUUAUGUGCGUUCGGCCCCCAUAAAUCUGGGUUCUGGUGUAAAAAGGGGACUUGUAUUUGAAGUUGCACCCCCUUUGGAAUCACAAUGUUUUUGAGUGUGACAGUUUCAAGGGCCUCUCUUGUUACAAAGACUGCCGGUGCACAAAGACGCAGUACCUCCUGAAUCACCAUUUUUAGCUGCACAAAAAUGCAAGACGAUUUCAAGCACCUCAUCAUGAACACGAGCUUGCCAAUCUGGAUGUGCAGCUAGUAACAUGAAGCUCCAUGACGCAGUACUGGCAAUGGUCUCAUGGCCAGCAAAGAAUAAAGUCUUGCAGUUAUCAACAAUGAACUUAUUGUGUGAUAGGUCAUUGUAAUCAGCAGAACUUUUGGCGCCCUCUAGAAUCAUUUGCAGCAAAUCUUUCUCAUUCGAAGCUU